rnacentral:rRNA from 1 species
GAGCGCCCGCAAGGGAGCGGCAGACGGGUGAGUAACGCGUGGGAAUCUACCCAGUUCUACGGAAUAACACAGGGAAACUUGUGCUAAUACCGUAUACGCCCUACGGGGGAAAGAUUUAUCGGAAUUGGAUGAGCCCGCGUUGGAUUAGCUAGUUGGUAGGGUAAUGGCCUACCAAGGCGACGAUCCAUAGCUGGUCUGAGAGGAUGAUCAGCCACACUGGGACUGAGACACGGCCCAGACUCCUACGGGAGGCAGCAGUGGGGAAUAUUGGACAAUGGGCGAAAGCCUGAUCCAGCCAUGCCGCGUGAGUGAUGAAGGCCCUAGGGUUGUAAAGCUCUUUCAGUGGGGAAGAUAAUGACGGUACCCACAGAAGAAGCCCCGGCUAACUUCGUGCCAGCAGCCGCGGUAAUACGAAGGGGGCUAGCGUUGUUCGGAUUUACUGGGCGUAAAGCGCACGUAGGCGGAUUGUUAAGUCGAGGGUGAAAUCCCAGGGCUCAACCCUGGAACUGCCUUCGAUACUGGCAAUCUUGAGUCCGGAAGAGGUGAGUGGAACUCCUAGUGUAGAGGUGGAAUUCGGUAGAUAUUAGAGAAAGAACACCAGUGGCGGAAGGCGGCUCACUGGUCCGGUACUGACGCUG